AACUUGACCUCAAAUCGAGUAGGACUACCCGCUGAACUUAAGCAUAUCAAUAAGCGGAGGAAAAGAAACUAACAAGGAUUCCCCUAGUAAC
rnacentral:rRNA from 1 species